AAGCUUUCGAGAGUUUCCUCUCUGCCUCAGGUUGAAGCAAUUCUUUUUGCUUAAUUAUUCAGUACUGCUUCAGAUCUGAGGAAGAAAGGAAACUCUCGAAAGCUU